rnacentral:rRNA from 1 species
UACGUAGGGACCAAGCGUUGUUCGGAUUUACUGGGCGUAAAGGGCGCGUAGGCGGCAAUUCAAGUCAGCUGUGAAAUCUCCGGGCUUAACUCGGAACGGUCAGCUGAUACUGUUUUGCUAGAGUGCAGAAGGGGCAAUCGGAAUUCUCGGUGUAGCGGUGAAAUGCGUAGAUAUCGAGAGGAACACCUGAGGUGAAGACGGGUUGCUGGGCUGACACUGACGCUGAGAGACGAAAGCUAGGGGAGCAAAUGGG